rnacentral:rRNA from 1 species
AGCGAACGCUGGCGGCAGGCCUAACACAUGCAAGUCGAACGAACCUUUCGGGGUUAGUGGCGGACGGGGGAGUAACACGUGGGAACGUGCCUUUAGGUUCGGAAUAACUCAGGGAAACUUGUGCUAAUACCGAAUGUGCCCUUCGGGGGAAAGAUUUAUCGCCUGUAGAGCGGCCCGCGUCUGAUUAGCUAGUUGGUUGAGGUAAUGGCUCACCAAGGCGACGAUCAGUAGCUGGUCUGAGAGGAUGAUCAGCCACAUUGGGACUGAGACACGGCCCAAACUCCUACGGGAGGCAGCAGUGGGGAAUCUUGCGCAAUGGGCGAAAGCCUGACGCAGCCAUGCCGCGUGAAUGAUGAAGGUCUUAGGAUUGUAAAAUUCUUUCACCGGGGACGAUAAUGACGGUACCCGGAGAAGAAGCCCCGGCUAACUUCGUG